rnacentral:rRNA from 1 species
GACGAACGCUGGCGGCGUGCCUAAUACAUGCAAGUUGAGCGCUGAAGGCUGGUACUUGUACCGACUGGAUGAGCAGCGCACGGGUGAGUAACGCGUGGGGAAUCUGCCUUUGAGCGGGGGACAACAUUUGGAAACGAAUGCUAAUACCGCAUAAAAACUUUAAACACAAGUUUGAAGUUUGAAAGAUGCAAUUGCAUCACUCAAAGAUGAUCCCGCGUUGUAUUAGCUAGUUGGUGAGGUAAAGGCGCACCAAGGCGAUGAUACAUAGCCGACCUGAGAGGGUGGUCGGCCAGAUUGGGACUGAGACACGGCCCAAACUCCUACGGGAGGCAGCAGUAGGGAAUCUUCGGCAAUGGACGGAAGUCUGACCGAGCAACGCCGCGUGAGUGAAGAAGGUUUUCGGAUCGUAAAACUCUGUUGGUAGAGAAGAACGUUGGUGAGAGUGGAAAGCUCAUCAAGUGACGGUAACUACUCAGAAAGGGACGGCUAACUACGUG